CCUACGGGAGGCAGCAGUGAGGAAUAUUGGUCAAUGGGCGAGAGCCUGAACCAGCCAAGUCGCGUGAAGGAUGACGGCCCUACGGGUUGUAAACUUCUUUUGUCAGGGAGCAAUUGGCUCCACGCGUGGGCUUAGCGAGAGUACCUGAAGAAAAAGCAUCGGCUAACUCCGUGCCAUCAGCCGCGGUAAUACGGAGGAUGCGAGCGUUAUCCGGAUUUAUUGGGUUUAAGGGGUGCGUGGGCGGAAUAUCAAGUCAGCGGUAAAGAUUCGGGGCUCAACCGCGUCGUGCCGUUGAAACUGAUGUUCUUGAGUGAGCGAGAAGUAUGCGGAAGGCGUGGUGUAGCGGUGAAAUGCAUAGAUAUCAUGCAGAACUCCGAUUGCGAAGGCAGGAUACCGGCGCUCAACUGACGCUGAAGCACGAAAGCGUGGGUAUCGAACAGGAUUAGAUACCCGAGUAGUC
rnacentral:rRNA from 1 species